ACAAAAAACCUCUGAGAGAGAUUGAAAAGGAAUGAUCAUAGCCAUGAAGAGAGCAAUAUUUAUAGGGCUUUUGUUCAUAAUUAUUUUUUGUACAUCUCUUUCAUGCUAUGCCUUUGAAGUUUCUUCCCCACCACAAUGCCAGUCUUUAUCGAAGGCAAAACACUUGAAGGAUGCACAUAAGAAAGUUGAUAUAAUGAGUUUCAGAAGACAUGGAAAGGGAUCAUAUGGUGGUGGAGAUCUCCUUCAUCCCCGUAACAGCCAUCGGAAUGGAGCUGCAAAAUCCAUCAUAUUGAAAUCCUCUUCCUUCCUCUCAACACUACGACUUAGAUAUGUUCUUGUUUUAGUUUUUGUUUUCUUGGUCUGAAUGCUCAUGGAAUAGUUAUAUGAAAACAUCAAAGCAAGAUUUGAGGAAAGCAAACUGAUGUUAACAUUAAUUCUUGUAUACUAUGAUUAAUUAGAUGGACAUGAUACCUACAAAUUUAGAGGAGAAUUCCAUUAAUUACUAUUCUUCU